rnacentral:rRNA from 1 species
CCCUUAGAUGUUCUGGGCUGCACGUGUGUUACACUGAAGUGGUCAGCGCGCCGUUCAACGUCCCACUCCGUGAGGAGCGGGCAAACGUUUGAACCCUUUUCGUGAUGGGAAUUGGGGGUUGCAAUUGUCCCCCAUGAACGAGGAAUUCCAAGUAAGCGCAGGUCACUAGCCUGCGUUGAUUAAGUCCCUGCCCUUUGUACACACCGCCCGUCGCUACUACCGAUGGAUGAUUUGGUGAGAUCGUCUAGACUGGCAGCUGGCUUCGGCCGUGCUGCCGGGAAGACGCUCAAACUUGGUCGUCUAGGGGAAGUAAAAGGCGUAACA